GACGAACGCUGGCGGCGUGCUUAACACAUGCAAGUCGAGCGAACCUUCGGGUUAGCGGCGAACGGGUGAGUAACACGUGGGCAACCUGCCCCGAGCUCUGGGAUAACCCCGGGAAACCGGGGCUAAUACCGGAUAUGACCCGAGAAGACAUCUUCUCGGGUGGAAAGUUUUUCGGCUCGGGAUGGGCCCGCGGCCUAUCAGCUUGUUGGUGGGGUAACGGCCUACCAAGGCGACGACGGGUAGCCGGCCUGAGAGGGCGACCGGCCACACUGGGACUGAGACACGGCCCAGACUCCUACGGGAGGCAGCAGUGGGGAAUAUUGCGCAAUGGGCGAAAGCCUGACGCAGCGACGCCGCGUGAGGGAAGACGGCCU
rnacentral:rRNA from 1 species